GAUGAAGAACGUAGCAAAAUGCGAUAAGUAAUGUGAAUUGCAGAAUUCAGUGAAUCAUCGAAUCUUUGAACGCACAUUGCGCCCGCCAGUAUUCUGGCGGGCAUGCCUGUUCGAGCGUCAUUUCAACCCUCAAGCACAGCUUGGUGUUGGGACUCGCGUUAAUUCGCGUUCCCCAAAUUGAUUGGCGGUCACGUCGAGCUUCCAUAGCGUAGUAGUAAAACCCUCGUUACUGGUAAUCGUCGCGGCCACGCCGUUAAACCCCAACUUCUGAAUGUUCACCUCGGAUCAGGUAGGAAUACCCGCUGAACUUAAGCAUAUCAAUAAGCGGAGGA
rnacentral:misc_RNA from 1 species